UUUUUUUUUUACUGUAUCCAACAAAGCAAAAGGAGGUUUUGAAAUGACAAGUAGCUGAAAGCAAGGGAAGACUUGCACUUGCUCAGUCUUGCUGACAUUGCCGUUCCCUUCUAUGUAUGGUAAGCAUUGCAAAAUCCAGCAUUUCCUUCAUGCUGCUCACGUGGAAGUCCAUGCAAGCUUUACUGCUUGUCUUCAGAUCCCAUGAAACCUUAGAUUUUCCCCUUCAUUGUGCACUAUGCAGUAUCUUAGGCAGAAAGGUACUUUCCAUGCACUGGGCAACUGUGUUGUGCUGCAGCACAGUGGCUCCUGCUGUGCCCAGUCCUGCAAGGCUGUGGGCUGCAGCUAGAGGGGGUGAGCAGGCAGAAGAUAGUUUCUGCUAAAAUUUCACAUUUGAAACUUUUCAUCUCACCCCCAUUGUUUCUCCUUCCCCUGCUCUCAGUAGCACCUGCAGGCAUAUCUCCUUCUCUAGUAGAUUUCUCCUGUGCACGUCUGCAUUUCUAAUACGCAUGCAGGUAUACAGACUGCACGUAUGUGUAUUUUAUAUGAGUGUGUAUUUGUGCACGUGCAGCAUAUCUACCUAUCAGCAUUAGAAACUGUGAUUUGUUGUGAGACAGUGCGAGGUCUCUGCUGGUGACUGAGGUUGGAGUGCCUGAAAUGUUGUGCACACGUCAUGAGUAAGUGGCCCUUUCUGCCGAGAUCUCGCAGUCCAAGUGUAUGAUUAGGAACAACAGAUGGAUACCACAAACAGACAGGCAGCGUGGGUGGGGGAGGAGCACAAAAUACCACCGAGAUAAUUAGGAUGAAUGAUUAAUGAUUCGAAUGGGUAAGAAGGGGCCAGAAUGCUCUAGCUGAAUAUUGCUGCUGAUGCCUCACAGGGACCUCGAUGGAGGUGGACAAGAGAUGCACUGUAUUUUGUACUUGCUUGUUAUCCAGGCUACUAAUUUCCCUCUGAGUCCGUGUUUGUAGAUGUUUGGCUCUAAGAUUACACUGCAGCUACACUGUAAGGAUGGUGUAACUUCAGUGUGUUCUGUAUGGAAUGCAGACCCAACUGUGCUGAAACACUAGUCCUUACAGGAAUUUGGAUCUCGUAGGAGCUGAUCCAACACCCACUGGAGUCAGUGAGCUCUUGACCCGUAUGGGAUUUGGGACAGUCCCAGAAUGUUCAAGUGGGCUUCAAACUGAGCUGAAUAAGUGGGAUAUGCAUUUAAAACGAUAAGAAGAAACGCUUUGUAUGAAACUCAUUUAAUAUCUUUCUGUUUGCAUGUACACAUUUUUACUGUGUGAAAUCAGACUGAUUUUUUAUCUGCUGCAUCUAUCUCAACAUGUGGUGUAUGUUACAGUGGACUGAUCAGUUACAUGAUUAAAAUACAUGGUAAACAGAUUCACAGCAUGCUUAACACUGGUAGUUUUGUGUUUUUGCAAUAAUUUUACCCCAACUUUUUCUUUCAUGAACUGUGAUUUUGUUGUUGCCUCUUUGUUUGCCCUUGAGAGAUUGCCCAUUGCUUUCCUAAAUCAGCUCAGUCUAUUUCCUGAAGAUUCUUCCACUGCUUUUAUGGUAGCUGAGUGGCUUGUGAGUACUCAAGGUUGUCAAGCUUUCUCCCCACUUAAACAAAUAGCACUGAUGUUGAAAAGGAUCACAAAACACCGUGCCUUUCGGCUGCCAGGGUCACCACCAUAUUAUUGACUUCAAGAAACUGAGGGAAGGCAGGAGGAGGGAAAUGGAAGGUGCCAAGUAAAGAUUUCUUGCAUCGUCACUUAGGGUUUGGUUCUGACUCUGGUCAAUGAAAAAGCUUUUACUAUGUGGCCAGGUGGCAUCAAAUGAUCUGAAAUUCCACUCCAAAGAGGGUCAUGUGUGCACAACAUUGGUCUACUCCCUCUGUAUGUGAAGGGGUGCUCACCUUCACAGGGAGGUAGUAUGAAGUAGCCCACUAUCCUUUAGUGCUAGGUGUUGCAGCUAUUACCAAGGGUUCUAUUUCCACGUUACUUGGAUUUUUGUGCAUACUAAAGGAAAAUAUUUACAGCUGUUAUCAUAGGCAUGUGAAGAAAUCUUACGCUACUUUUCAAGACAAAAUUUUCAGACAGCUAGACUCGGCAUGACGAUUCAGAGAAGGAUGCUGGUACUGAUGCCAAACUUGUGGUUUUCUCUAACUCGUUUUGCAGGACCUCCUUUUGCUGAAUAGAAAGCCUUCACUUGAAAUGCAAUUACCCUAACGUAGAGAAAAGAACAGGCAUAACCAUGACAGAUGAGAGGAAAUUUCCUCAGAUCAUCCCUUCAACAUCAACAGUGGCACAUUUUCUGUACUUGCUUGAUAAAAAGAAAGAUUUAGGCUGGACCACUGUGUAAGUGCAUAACGUAACAGCCCUAUGGGCUUCAGCAGAGCUUUAUCAGUAAACGUUAAGUCCUAAGAAAAGAUAAUUAAAUAGAGGGCUAACUAUAAUCUCAUAAGCAGUGCAAAUUAGUACAUUUUUAUUGGAAUCAGUGGUGCAAUGUCAGUGGAGAAUCUGACCUCUUGGGUGUACCCAAAUGAUGGGAACGUGGUAGCAAAUUUCCUCCUAGAAACCACCUCACUUUUUGUUAACUCCUACAUUCUUUCUGAUUUCCUUUUUUAAAUGUACUUUUUGUGAUGCAUCUUGGCUGGUCUCUGUCUGACAUUCUCAGCAUUUUUUGGAUCUCUCUUGUACCUUUCCAUUAAUUCAGUUCUUUAGCUGCGUUGCCACCUUUUCAUUUUUCCCUGUUUGUCUACCUCAUCAUCCUUUCUCUCCAUUAAGCAAUGCAAGAUGUUGGGAUUAAGUGAAUUGAAAUAUUCUUGUAGAGUGGAUUGACACAUGCGCCUUUGUUCUGUGGAGCUUGUUUUCAUUCUGUCAUCCUUCCCCUGUGAUUGCUUCCUGGGUCUUUGUGAAGUAAUGGAGAUGGUGGUUUACCUCAGACCUUCUGGCUACUGAUGCCCAACUCUUUGAUACAUUGAUUCUUAGCUUGGAAGAGGCAUGCUGGCAGUGGUGGGCCGUUCCAGAAAUCUGAAGCCAGCAUGUUUGCUUUCUCCUUUUCCAGCUGGAGAUACUAUGAAGAAGUACUGAUAGUGAUAGUAAUAUUGUAUUCUGAAUAUGAGUCAAGAAGACCGUGGAGAUGGGAGAAGUCAUUUCCCUUCAUCUCUGUAAACAAGAAGAUCUAUCUAACUCAGAACUUCUGAAGGACAGAGAGGAUCUGAGCUGGUGAUUGCACUGUCUGAAGGUGCUGUGUUCACUGGUUCACACACAGCACUGUUAGUGGAGGUAGAGCUGCUGUCAUUUGCCCCCAUUCGUUCCUGGGGCCAGUACUGAAACUCAUGUAGAGAAAGAUGCGUACCAGACCUGUGCCUGCUUGUUCAAACACUCUGAGAGGUUGUAGGGGAUGCACCUGUAUCACACGUUAUGUAAACCUGGAACAGCUGGUGUGUGUGGCAGAGAGGAUUUGAAGCUUGGAGUUGCAGCUGAGCCCACUUGUUUUCAGCUGGUGUGCUUGGGCACAGAAGGAGCCAGAGGAGCAAUGCAGUUCUCUUGACAGGCAGGAGACCACAAAGAGCACAUGGAGGAAGGGAAUUGCUAGUAAAUAAAGGUUAGUUUUUGUGAAGUAAAGAAAGAAACAGAAGCAAAAGAGAUCUAAUUAAAGAGAAGAACAACUAGUGUGCACAAGAAGAGAAGUGUAGCUUGUGGUGAUGGCUGAGAAGAGGAGCUUAAGAAGGAAUGAAGAGGCAGAGAAGCUUGGAUGAUGAAGAGACUAUGUACCCUGAGAAAGGAAAAUUAGGUUUGCACGAGUUCAAGGGGAGAAGUUCAUCAAAGAGAAAUCCACCAAGAUUAAGAACAUAGUGACUGCAGUAUUUGCAAGAAGUUGCUGAGCAAAAAUUGUUGGAAGAGGACACCAGUGGAAAGCAUCAAAUACAUCUGCUGAAUUUUAUUCCUCGCUGAGUUCCUAUUUGUGGCACUCAACAGCCUAUUGUGGCUGCUGAUGGAGACAAGAUACUGAAUUAUGAACUUUCAGCCUGCCUUGGAAAUCUACAGCCAAAAUGUAAUACCGGGUGUGAUUCUUCCCUAACUUCCACUGCACUGAUACCGUCUGAGUGGCAGGGGUGGAUCUAUUUUUGGCAAAACUCAGAUUAUCAAGGAUUAGCUUUUCUGCCAUAGCGAAGUGGGAAGCAGACUGGAGAAGGCUGCAAUGCACAUUUUCGUAAGAGAUGUUAUGCUCAGGGGGAAGGUUGUGUCCACAGGAUACAGAGGCAAGGAGGAUCACUUCCCCCAUGGCAAAGUUAUCUCUUUUUUGGAAAGCGUCCCUCCCCUGUGUCCUGGCAGGACUUGGGUCAUGCUCCAAAUUCCAUCCUGUCCCUCUGCUUCCUGCCCUUUCACCCAUCACCAGAGUGAUAAAACACCCGUCCAGAAGCGUUGCGGAACUAAUUGCUUCGCUAUACUUUGAAAAAUAAAAAGUAAUGUUACGAUAGCUGGUUUUGUACAAAAGCUUGUUUUGUUCGUUCAUCCUAUGGACUGGGAAUUUCAGAGGCCGUGCUGUUGUAAGCUGUCCA